rnacentral:rRNA from 1 species
AUUGAACGCUGGCGGCAUGCCUUACACAUGCAAGUCGAACGGUAACAGGUCUUCGGAUGCUGACGAGUGGCGAACGGGUGAGUAAUACAUCGGAACGUGCCUAGUAGUGGGGGAUAACUACUCGAAAGAGUGGCUAAUACCGCAUGAGAUCUACGGAUGAAAGCAGGGGAUCGCAAGACCUUGUGCUACUAGAGCGGCCGAUGGCAGAUUAGGUAUUUGGUGGGGUAAAAGCUUACCAAGCCGACGAUCUGUAGCUGGUCUGAGAGGACGAUCAGCCACACUGGGACUGAGACACGGCCCAGACUCCUACGGGAGGCAGCAGUGGGGAAUUUUGGACAAUGGGCGCAAGCCUGAUCCAGCAAUGCCGCGUGCAGGAUGAAGGCCUUCGGGUUGUAAACUGCUUUUGUACGGAACGAAAAGCCCUGGGUUAAUACCCUGGGGUCAUGACGGUACCGUAAGAAUAAGCACCGGCUAACUACGUGCCAGCAGCCGCAGUAAAAC